UUAAGCGACUAAGCGUACACGGUGGAUGCCCUGGCAGUCAGAGGCGAUGAAGGACGUGCUAAUCUGCGAUAAGCGUCGGUAAGGUGAUAUGAACCGUUAUAACCGGCGAUUUCCGAAUGGGGAAACCCAGUGUGUUUCGACACACUAUCAUUAACUGAAUCCAUAGGUUAAUGAGGCGAACCGGGGGAACUGAAACAUCUAAGUACCCCGAGGAAAAGAAAUCAACCGAGAUUCCCCCAGUAGCGGCGAGCGAACGGGGAGCAGCCCAGAGCCUGAAUCAGUGUGUGUGUUAGUGGAAGCGUCUGGAAAGGCGCGCGAUACAGGGUGACAGCCCCGUACACAAAAAUGCACAUGCUGUGAGCUCGAUGAGUAGGGCGGGACACGUGGUAUCCUGUCUGAAUAUGGGGGGACCAUCCUCCAAGGCUAAAUACUCCUGACUGACCGAUAGUGAACCAGUACCGUGAGGGAAAGGCGAAAAGAACCCCGGCGAGGGGAGUGAAAAAGAACCUGAAACCGUGUACGUACAAGCAGUGGGAGCACGCUUAGGCGUGUGACUGCGUACCUUUUGUAUAAUGGGUCAGCGACUUAUAUUCUGUAGCAAGGUUAACCGAAUAGGGGAGCCGAAGGGAAACCGAGUCUUAACUGGGCGUUAAGUUGCAGGGUAUAGACCCGAAACCCGGUGAUCUAGCCAUGGGCAGGUUGAAGGUUGGGUAACACUAACUGGAGGACCGAACCGACUAAUGUUGAAAAAUUAGCGGAUGACUUGUGGCURGGGGUGAAAGGCCAAUCAAACCGGGAGAUAGCUGGUUCUCCCCGAAAGCUAUUUAGGUAGCGCCUCGUGAAUUCAUCUCCGGGGGUAGAGCACUGUUUCGGCAAGGGGGUCAUCCCGACUUACCAACCCGAUGCAAACUGCGAAUACCGGAGAAUGUUAUCACGGGAGACACACGGCGGGUGCUAACGUCCGUCGUGAAGAGGGAAACAACCCAGACCGCCAGCUAAGGUCCCAAAGUCAUGGUUAAGUGGGAAACGAUGUGGGAAGGCCCAGACAGCCAGGAUGUUGGCUUAGAAGCAGCCAUCAUUUAAAGAAAGCGUAAUAGCUCACUGGUCGAGUCGGCCUGCGCGGAAGAUGUAACGGGGCUAAACCAUGCACCGAAGCUGCGGCAGCGACGCUUAUGCGUUGUUGGGUAGGGGAGCGUUCUGUAAGCCUGCGAAGGUGUGCUGUGAGGCAUGCUGGAGGUAUCAGAAGUGCGAAUGCUGACAUAAGUAACGAUAAAGCGGGUGAAAAGCCCGCUCGCCGGAAGACCAAGGGUUCCUGUCCAACGUUAAUCGGGGCAGGGUGAGUCGACCCCUAAGGCGAGGCCGAAAGGCGUAGUCGAUGGGAAACAGGUUAAUAUUCCUGUACUUGGUGUUACUGCGAAGGGGGGACGGAGAAGGCUAUGUUGGCCGGGCGACGGUUGUCCCGGUUUAAGCGUGUAGGCUGGUUUUCCAGGCAAAUCCGGAAAAUCAAGGCUGAGGCGUGAUGACGAGGYACUACGGUGCUGAAGCAACAAAUGCCMUGCUUCCAGGAAAAGCCUCUAAGCAUCAGGUAACAUCAAAUCGUACCCCAAACCGACACAGGUGGUCAGGUAGAGAAUACCAAGGCGCUUGAGAGAACUCGGGUGAAGGAACUAGGCAAAAUGGUGCCGUAACUUCGGGAGAAGGCACGCUGAUAUGUAGGUGAAGUCCCUCGCGGAUGGAGCUGAAAUCAGUCGAAGAUACCAGCUGGCUGCAACUGUUUAUUAAAAACACAGCACUGUGCAAACACGAAAGUGGACGUAUACGGUGUGACGCCUGCCCGGUGCCGGAAGGUUAAUUGAUGGGGUCAGCGCAAGCGAAGCUCUUGAUCGAAGCCCCGGUAAACGGCGGCCGUAACUAUAACGGUCCUAAGGUAGCGAAAUUCCUUGUCGGGUAAGUUCCGACCUGCACGAAUGGCGUAAUGAUGGCCAGGCUGUCUCCACCCGAGACUCAGUGAAAUUGAACUCGCUGUGAAGAUGCAGUGUACCCGCGGCAAGACGGAAAGACCCCGUGAACCUUUACUAUAGCUUGACACUGAACAUUGAGCCUUGAUGUGUAGGAUAGGUGGGAGGCUUUGAAGUGUGGACGCCAGUCUGCAUGGAGCCGACCUUGAAAUACCACCCUUUAAUGUUUGAUGUUCUAACGUKGACCCGURAUCCGGGUUGCGGACAGUGUCUGGUGGGUAGUUUGACUGGGGCGGUCUCCUCCUAAAGAGUAACGGAGGAGCACGAAGGUUGGCUAAUCCUGGUCGGACAUCAGGAGGUUAGUGCAAUGGCAUAAGCCAGCUUGACUGCGAGCGUGACGGCGCGAGCAGGUGCGAAAGCAGGUCAUAGUGAUCCGGUGGUUCUGAAUGGAAGGGCCAUCGCUCAACGGAUAAAAGGUACUCCGGGGAUAACAGGCUGAUACCGCCCAAGAGUUCAUAUCGACGGCGGUGUUUGGCACCUCGAUGUCGGCUCAUCACAUCCUGGGGCUGAAGUAGGUCCCAAGGGUAUGGCUGUUCGCCAUUUAAAGUGGUACGCGAGCUGGGUUUAGAACGUCGUGAGACAGUUCGGUCCCUAUCUGCCGUGGGCGCUGGAGAACUGAGGGGGGCUGCUCCUAGUACGAGAGGACCGGAGUGGACGCAUCACUGGUGUUCGGGUUGUCAUGCCAAUGGCACUGCCCGGUAGCUAAAUGCGGAAGAGAUAAGUGCUGAAAGCAUCUAAGCACGAAACUUGCCCCGAGAUGAGUUCUCCCUGACYCYUURAGRGUCCUGAAGGAACGUUGAAGACGACGACGUUGAUAGGCCGGGUGUGUAAGCGCAGCGAUGCGUUGAGCUAACCGGUACUAAUGAACCGUGAGGCUUAACCUU
rnacentral:rRNA from 1 species